GGCAAGAAAUAAUUGACCCUUUAAUUUGUUCUUUUUUUUUUACAUAAGUGGUGAAACAUUAUUUACCAAUAUUCCCUCAAAUAUCCAAUACAAAUCAAGAACCACAACAACAUGAGAGAGAGAGAGAGAGAGAGAGAGAGAGAGAGAUGUGGUUAUAUUUGGUGAAAUAGUGGUGCAUCAUCCUGCAUGUUUGGACCAGCUGUGAUGAGUGGCAAUGGAUCAGACAAAGAUGACGUCAUUGGAUAAUGACCACUAAACCCUUGUGAGCCAUGUUCUUGAAUCUGAUUAACCCCGUAUUCGAACGACAUG
rnacentral:lncRNA from 1 species